UACGCAGCCUUGAAGACCCAGCCCCACAGUCCUGUCCAUCCUAAAGCCAUGGGUGGUCUUUUGCUCCCUGCUUUGGUCACUGCUGAGCCAUCGUGCUCUGAGGAAGCCCAAACCAGCCAAUGCUGAGAGACCACAUAGAGAGAAACCAUGCAGACAAGAGCAGAAGCUGCAACCUAUCAUCUGCAUCAACAGAUUGGAGCACAAGUGAUGUAUUCAGUGCUGCAUGCCCGUGGUUAAGACCCUCAACUAAGCUGAUAGAGGGUGUGGCUACUGCCUUCCAAGUUAGCUUUCAUCCACUCCUUACAACCUGUGCAAUUCUAGUGUACCAGAAUUCAUUGUUUAUGUACCACACCCAGUUCUCCAUGCAGUACGUGCCCUCCAUAAUAUGGAAAGUGCCUGGGUACCUGCUUCUUUGGAUGAAGAUUUGAAUUGUUACCUUCCAGAGCCAAUAAUACAUCUCACCUCUCUGCAGACAAAGG